rnacentral:rRNA from 1 species
CCUACGGGGGGCAGCAGUGAGGAAUAUUGGUCAAUGGGCGGGAUCCUGAACCAGCCAAGCCGCGUGAGGGAAGAAGGUCCUGCGUAUUGUAAACCUCUUUUGUCGGGGAACAAAGGCCGGGACUAGUCCCCGGAUGCGGGUACCCGAAGAAAAAGCAUCGGCUAACUCCGUGCCAGCAGCCGCGGUAAUACGGAGGAUGCGAGCGUUAUCCGGAUUUAUUGGGUUUAAAGGGUGCGCAGGCGGCCCGUUAAGUCAGCGGUAAAAUUGCGGGGCUCAACCCCGGCGAGCCGUUGAAACUGGCGGGCUGGAGUUGGAGAGAAGUACGCGGAAUGCGCGGUGUAGCGGUGAAAUGCUUAGAUAUCGCGCAGAACCCCGAUUGCGAAGGCAGCGUACCGGCGCCAGACUGACGCUGAGGCACGAAAGCGUGGGUAUCGAACAGGAUUAGAUACCCGGGUAGUC